AGGGGAGUCGUCUCGUGGUAGGGUAGCAGAUUCUGGCUCUGCCGGCCGGGUUCAAAUCCCUGCUCCCCAG
rnacentral:tRNA from 1 species